CAACUCACUGGAGUUGACCAUCAAAACUCUUUUCCAGGAGGCACACUCAGGCAUCACAGAAAAUAAUAUGUAUUGUGGAAUCCCUCACUUGAUGAAUAAUCUAGAUGAUCAGAAAUGUGGCACUAUUUUGGCUUUCAGGUGGAAAAGCACCCUGAAUCCAGCUUCCUGCUAUGAAUGAAUACUGACCUUGGGAUGGUGGAAAUGGAUUUUCGAGAUAAGU
rnacentral:lncRNA from 1 species